AUUGAACGCUGGCGGCAUGCCUUACACAUGCAAGUCGAACGGUAACGGGCCUUCGGGUGCCGACGAGUGGCGAACGGGUGAGUAAUACAUCGGAACGUGCCCGAUCGUGGGGGAUAACGAGGCGAAAGCUUUGCUAAUACCGCAUACGAUCUACGGAUGAAAGCCGGGGACCGCAAGGCCUUGCGCGGACGGAGCGGCCGAUGGCCGAUUAGGUAGUUGGUGGGAUAAAAGCUUACCAAGCCGACGAUCUGUAGCUGGUCUGAGAGGAUGAUCAGCCACACUGGGACUGAGACACGGCCCAGACUCCUACGGGAGGCAGCAGUGGGGAAUUUUGGACAAUGGGCGCAAGCCUGAUCCAGCCAUGCCGCGUGCAGGAUGAAGGCCUUCGGGUUGUAAACUGCUUUUGUACGGAACGAAAAGCCUUCUUUUAAUACAGGGGGGUCAUGACGGUACCGUAAGAAUAAGCACCGGCUAACUACGUG
rnacentral:rRNA from 1 species